rnacentral:misc_RNA from 1 species
AGAAAAAAAAUCGAAGCGUCGCUCUUUAUGAAAUAUUAUUAUUUUGUUUGGGUGAUCGCGUCGGAAUUGAGCCGUCUUUCAUAUGUUAACUCAUGUCAAAGUGGUUUAAAAUUCAUCAAUCUGGUACGAUUUAUAAAGCGUAUUUAAGAUCAACCUUGAUUAAGAACGCGCGAUGACGUACCAUCUCAUGUAGUACGUUCGACCUGUUUGUCAGGCUCAUUCGUAUACGACACUCAAC